rnacentral:rRNA from 1 species
UACAGAGGGGGCAAGCGUUGUUCGGAAUUACUGGGCGUAAAGGGCGCGUAGGCGGCUUGGUAUGUCGGGUGUGAAAUCCCCGGGCUCAACCUGGGAACUGCAUCCGAAACUGCCUUGCUCGAGUAUGGGAGAGGGAAGUGGAAUUUCCGGUGUAGCGGUGAAAUGCGUAGAUAUCGGAAGGAACAUCAGUGGCGAAGGCGACUUCCUGGACCAAUACUGACGCUCAGGUGCGAAAGCGUGGGGAGCAAACAGG